GCCCGGUUAGCUCAGUUGGUAGAGCGCAGGACUUAUAAUCCUGAUGUCGAGGGUUCAACUCCCUUAUCGUGCG
rnacentral:tRNA from 1 species